GUGCUUCCUUUUUCAGCACAUUUACUAAAAUUUGAAUGACACAGAGAAGAUUAACAUGGCUCUUGUGCAAGGAUGACAUGCAAAUUCUUGAAACAUUCCAUAUUCAU